AAGUGCGGACCUACAAAGUUUGUCCGCUCCAGGGCACCGUAGUGGCUUUUACCCUGGCCGGGCGGGCUGGGCUCAGCCGGGCUGGGCUGGGCUACGCGGCUGGAGCCGGGCUCUACCCAGAGCAAGACCCUGAUGGCUGCGGUGUUUCUGGUAACGCUUUAUGAAUACUCGCCGCUUUUCUACAUCGCGGUGGUCUUUACCUGCUUCAUCGUGACCACUGGCCUGGUAUUGGGAUGGUUUGGUUGGGAUGUUCCAGUAAUUCUGAGAAAUUCAGAAGAGACCCAGUUCAGCACAAGAGUUUUCAAAAAGCAAAUGAGACAAGUCAAGAAUCCUUUUGGUUUAGAGAUCACUAAUCCAUCUUCAGCGUCAAUUACAACUGGCAUAACCUUGACAACAGAUUGCCUUGAAGAUAGCCUCCUUACAUGCUACUGGGGGUGCAGUGUUCAAAAAUUAUAUGAAGCUCUGCAGAAGCAUGUUUAUUGCUUCAGAAUAAGCACUCCCCAAGCAUUAGAAGAUGCUCUGUAUAGUGAAUAUCUCUAUCAGGAACAGUAUUUUAUUAAAAAGGAUAGCAAAGAAGAAAUAUAUUGCCAGUUACCAAGAGAUACUAGAAUUGAAGACUUUGGUACAGUACCCAGAUCUCGCUAUCCAUUGGUAGCGCUAUUGACCUUAGCUGAUGAGGAUGACCGGGAAAUUUAUGAUAUUAUUUCCAUGGUGUCAGUGAUUCAUAUUCCUGAUAGGACUUAUAAACUAUCCUGCAGAAUAUUGUAUCAAUAUUUACUCUUGGCUCAAGGUCAAUUUCAUGAUCUUAAGCAACUUUUCAUGUCUGCAAAUAAUAAUUUCACUCCCUCCAACAAUUCCUCUUCAGAAGAAAAAAACAUAGACAGAAGUUUGUUGGAAAAGGUGGGACUCUCUGAAAGUGAAGUUGAGCCAUCAGAGGAGAACAGCAAGGACUGUGUUGUUUGCCAGAAUGGGACUGUGAACUGGGUGCUCUUACCAUGCAGACACACAUGCCUGUGUGAUGGCUGUGUGAAGUAUUUUCAGCAGUGCCCAAUGUGCAGGCAGUUUGUUCAGGAAUCUUUUGCACUUUGCAGUCAAAAAGAGCAAGAUAAAGACAAACUGAAGACUCUUUGAAGGCAUCGUAACACUGAAAAGUACACUUUCUACUAAAGAUGCAGAAAUUGAUGAUCUUGGAAUUCAUCAUAACAUAGAAUCUACAGUACUGACCAUCAAUGAAAAUUCUAUUUUAACUUCAUAUUUGUAUGAUGCUAUUUUUCAAAAGUAGCAGCUUUUGGAACCAGGGCAACAUCUAAGCAGACUUGACAGGUGAGUAGACACCUCUUCUUUCGGUGACCCUUUCUUCCCAACUUAAUGGAGUCCAUUGCAAAGCCACAUAGUUUAAUUGCACCAGGCCUUCAAUGCUUCUCAACAAUUCUUUAGUUUAAUGGACUCCCAACUGAACUCCCAAAUGGUUAUUUCAGACCUCUUCUACUUUUCUCAAGUUCUGUAUCCCACCACUAUUAUAUCACCCUCAGUAAAGAACCUUCAAGAUGUAGUAUGGUGUGGAGGUUAUGAUGGACCCUGAAGUCAGAUAACUUGAUUUUUAUUCCAGCUCUGUCACUUAAUGGCUAGUCACCUUGGAGAAGUUACUUAACCUCACUCUGCCUCAGUUUCCUUAUCUAUAAAAUGAUGAUAAUAGAACCUGCCCACAGGCAGUUGAGAGGAUUACACCCAUAAAUAUGUGUAAAGUGCUUACACUUGUGACCUCCAUAGUAAGCCCCAUGUAAGAUUGGUUCUACUGUCAUUUCUUUGCUUAGAUGUUCAAAAUCAGUAGAUAUUUUUUUUUCUCUUCCCCAAGAGAAGAGAUGUAUCUCCUUUUGAGGCUAACGCUUUACUUAUGAUCUUGAUUUCAUCCCUGCUUGCCCCGGAACUCAUUUGAUUACUCAUUCAAUAACUAAACAAAUAAUUAUUGAGUGCCAAAGAUACUAUACAUCUUUGGUCAUUGGGGAUACAGGAAUGAAUAAAAUAGGCAAAACUCCUUGCCUUCGUGGAGCUUACAUUCUAGUAGACAGAGAAAGAGACCAAUUAGUAAAAGAUAGAGGAUCAGAUGGAAGUGAGUGCUAUGGAGGAGAUCAAAGCUGGGAUGGGUAGGUAGGGAAUGUGAGGGAUACAGAUUGGGUUACACUGUAUUUGAAGGCGUCUUUAGGAAUUUUGGUGGAGACCUGAAGGGGAACAGGGAGUAAGCAGUUUGCAGUGAAGAGGUCUUAAUGACUGCAAGGCUGGGAGUUGGAGUUUACUGAGAUGGGGAUGAUUGGAAAAAGAGCAAGUUUGGAGGAAAAGAACAACUGUGUUUUUGUUAAGUUUUAGAUGCCAGUUAGAAGUUAAGUGGAAAUGUCAAAUAAGCAGGUGCAUAUACUAAUCUAGAGUUCAGAAAAGAGGUCCAGGCUGAAGAUAUAAAUUUGAGGGUCAUUAGCAUGGUAUUUAAAGCCAAAAGGCCACGUGAGAGCACCAAGGGAGUGAGCAUAGGAAUAGAAGUGGCCCGUGGUUUGACACUUGGGAUACUCCAACAUUCAGGGAGAUUAGGGAAGAACCCAUAGACUGAGGAGUAGACAGUGAGAUAGGAGGAAAACUAGAAGAGUGGUCUUCACACUGAUCUAUUUCUUCUUAACAGAAUUGAAGGGGUGAAACAACCACUAUUUUAUUGUGCUCAGAGAUUCUGUGGUCAGGUAUUGGCACACGCUGUGGCGCAGAUAGGCUUGCCUGGAACCUUAUUUGGGAAGACUUAAAUGGCUAGUGGGGUAACCCAAUGGCCUGAAGGCUAGAAUUAUCUGAAGCCUUCUUUACUCAGGUAUUUGGUGCCUGGGCUGUGAUGAUGCAAAAGCUGGGCUGAGCUAGGACAACACAUGGCCUUUACAUGUGGCUUGGGUUUUGUGACAGUCUGGUGGCUUUAGGGUAGUCAGACUUCUUUAAUGCAGGCUCAGGGCUCUAAGAUCAAGUGUUUGCAGUGAAUGAAACAAAAGCUGCAUGGCCGUUUUUGUCUUUUUUUAAAAACAGCUUUGUGGAGAUCUAAUUUACAUACCAUACAAUUCCCCCAUUCAAAGUGUACCAUUCAAUAGUAUUAAUGUGCUCACAGAAUUUUAUAAUCAUCACUGCAAUCAAUUUUGAACAUUUUUAUUACCCCCAAAAGAAAACCUGUGCCUAUUAGCAAUCAUCCCCAAUCCCUCCAUCCUCCCAGCUCUAGGCAAGAACUAAUCUACUUUGUCUUUAUAGAUUUGUCUGUUCUGGACAGUUCAUGGAAUGGAAUCAAAUGUAGAAUCAUAAAUUGAAUCACACAAUAUAAGAUUUUUGUGACUGGUUUCUUUCAUUUAGCAUGUUUUCAGGGUUCAUCCAUGUUGUGUGAAUCGGUAUUUUAUUCCUUUUUAUUGCUGGAUGAGACUUCAUUGUGUAGCUAUACCAUAUUGUGUUUAUCCAUUCAGCAUUUGAUGGGCUUUUGGUGUUUUCCACUUUUGGGCCAUUAUGAAUAAUACUAUGAAGAUUUAGGUACAAGUUUUGGUAGAUAUGUUUUCAUUUCUCUGGGUAUAUACUGUGGGGAAGGAAAAACUUUUAAUCUAUUUUUUAGAUUCAGUCAUGGGAGGCCUGCAAAUUAAAUUGAUAAAUGAAAGAUUAGCAAAGGAAAAGACAUUUUAAUCACAUGCAGACAGGAGUUCACAAUGGAAAGUGACUCAAAGGGAUGAUUAUUUGGGAUUUAUAUACAGUCGUAAUAGGGGAAGGCAAGAAGGAGAAAGACACUUGUUGGAAAACAAUGACUUUCAGGAAAGAUAAAUGGGCCCUUAGGAGAUUACAUGGAGGAUAUGAUAGAUAGUUUUCAUGACAAACGUCUAUUUAGGUGUGAUAUGGAGACAUCUUAUCUCUGGUGAUAAUAGUUAAUCUUCCCUGGUUGUUCCUGAGAUGGGGAUUUAUGACGUUUCGGUUAUUUUGACUUCUUUUGGGAGACUCUCCUUUUAGGCAGAAAAGAGAUUUCAGGAACUCAAAUAUCUUCUGCUUAAAAUAAUUUUUUAUGUCACAGUGGCUUAUUCCAGACCUAUUCAAUACCUACAAGUGGAAUUACUGGCUCAUAUGGAAACUCUAUGCUGAAGCUUUUGAGGAACUUCCCAAUUGUUUUCCAAAGUAGCUGUACCAUUUUACAUUCUUACUGGCAAUGUAUGAGGGUUCCAGUUUCUCCAUGUCCUCCCCAACACUUGUUAUUAUCUUUUAAUUAUAGCUUUCCUAUCCUAAUGGGAUAAGAUACUUUUACCACCUCACUUCACACUUGAAUACCCUUGAAGUGGUAUAAUUAUGGUGUAUUUUUUAAAUUGUGGUUGGAAAAAACACACAUAACAAGUUACUGUCUUACUCACUUUUAAGUAUUCAGUUAAGUAGUGUAUUCACAUUCUCGUGCAAUAGAUCUUCAGAACUUUUUCAUCUUGCCAAACUAAAAUUCUGUAUCUAUUAAACAACGCCCCAUUUCUCCCUCCCCCAGCCCCUGACAACCACCCAUUUUAUGGUAUAACUGUGAUUUUGACUUGCAUUUCCCUAAUGGUUAAUGAUAUUGAACAUGUUUUCAUGUUUUUAUUAACCAUUUGUAUAUCUAGUUAGUUCUUUAACCCUUUUGUUUUUCAGACGGAGUCUGGCUGGCUCUGUCGCCCAGGCUGGACAGAGCCAUCUUGGCUCACUGCA